AUUGCACGCUGGCGGCAUGCUUUACACAUGCAAGUCGAACGGCAGCGCGGGGGCAACCCUGGCGGCGAGUGGCGAACGGGUGAGUAAUGCAUCGGAACGUAUCCUGUAAUGGGGGAUAACGUAGCGAAAGUUACGCUAAUACCGCAUACGCUCGAGAGAGGAAAGUGGGGGAUCGCAAGACCUCACGUUAUAGGAGCGGCCGAUGUCCGAUUAGCUAGUUGGUGGGGUAAAGGCCUACCAAGGCGACGAUCGGUAGCUGGUCUGAGAGGAUGAUCAGCCACACUGGGACUGAGACACGGCCCAGACUCCUACGGGAGGCAGCAGUGGGGAAUUUUGGACAAUGGGCGAAAGCCUGAUCCAGCCAUGCCGCGUGCGGGAA
rnacentral:rRNA from 1 species